CUCGGUCCCGAGCGAGCCCCAAUUUGACGCCACUGAUGUCGGUGCUCACUCCCGAGUGAGCCCUAAUUUGACCCCACUGAUGUCGGUGAUUAGCAUUCUGUCCCCUUCGUCGGCGUUGGACGUCAGAGUCGCCAGUGGGCACCAACACGCGCGUCGCCCUUCUGUGAUGCUCCGAUUCCGCGAUCGAGCGACGCCCUCGUUUCUGGUGAUGGUAACUUAAUAUACAGAAACAAUCUUUUUGGUUGUAGAGUGAACAAAAUGCUCCCAUUCUUCAUUGUUUUGAGUGCCGAUGUCCGGGCAAAAGACAAUUCUUGACCAGACGAAGUCAAUGGAAUCGAGAUUUUGCCGAUUGCAGAAUAGUGGACUGUUCUGUCUGUAGCAUAAACUAUAGCAGAUACAAGUACCCAGCCCGGUCCAUUGCAUGUCAUCAUCUAUUCGGGCCUUCUUCGUAUCCUUGUAUCAGGUUGUUUGAUAUGAAAGUUUAAACCUGUUUUUGGAAGCAAUAGGUUUACCGUACUGCUAUGAAUACUUUCCACUCCGAUGUUUGCGAUCCAUUCAUUGUUCUUGUUAAGGACUCGAGUGAUGUCACAAAAUGCCAUAUCUACAUAGAUUUUGGUUCAGUAAGUUCGUAUGCCUUCGCUGUGUUUCCUAGUUGGCUUCUCUCUGUGAUAUUGGACAAGAAAAGGCUCAGGGAUGCAGAUAAAUUGCUUUCUCUGAUAUAAUUUCCACCUCUGCUUGGAGCUGUUGUGGUGUAGAAGAGCAAUUCUUUGGCCAAAAUCUGUGACCGUCCUGAUGUAAAAUUGAAAUGGACUAUGAAUUGUAUAGGGUCUGAUUUACUUGGUUCAGUGCACCUGCUAGAUAGAUGCAAUUCCAAUGAUUUUCUUGGAGGCUUGCAGCAGGACUAUCACUGAUUGAUUAAUGCUAUACAGUACUUGCAUAUGUCUUCAUACUCUCAGGUCUUGUCUGAACCACUUUACAGUCAGCUAGUGACAGAAUGUGGUCCACAUCCAUCUGAAUGUUAAAAUCCACAGUUAAGCGUGAUGGCCAUUUGAUUUCAUUGCAAUAUAAAAGGCUGGGAAUAUUGAUGCCUUGUAGGAAACCAGUGCAUGAUAGGGAGCUAAAGUCUAAGGAGCCUAUGCUAAGUCCACAAUGUUGAUACGAUGACUAGUUCUGCAGAGUUCACUUUCCAGGGAUGCUUUUUCACUUCAGUUGCAAUGAUGCUUUUGUUAUAUUUACAAUGGAUUGCGACCAUGAAAUUUGGUUGUGUUAGGAGAUGGCUGAAAAUUCUAGUAGUUGCUUCUCACUUACAGUGCUUCAAUUAUCAAUACGCCAGUGUCUUUCUUAUAUGCUACAUCAAAGGAGUACAUGGAGGUGACAUGCACAACCAGCCUUACUUGAGAAGUGUCUAAAACCUACAGUAAAGAAUAUUCUUGUUGUAUUCUGGUUGCUGGCUUCUUACUGUUACUAGUCAUGUUUUAUUGUUUCUUUUUUCCUUUUUUUAAAAUUUUUUUGUACUAUAUCAUGGUCACUGAAAUCAGUGAUAUAUUCCUUUUUUUAAAAAAUUGUUCUGAUUGAUUCAUAAGAGACCAACUCCACAAGAAUCAAUCAGGACACACA